UGGGAAGGGCUGCUCUGAAUCCACAGCUCAGCGAGGGAAUAGCAAGCAGCUGGAGCUUGGAAAAAGCCCCAUCCUCAUCCUUAUGUGAGCGCUAUGCUCCUAUUUCUACCUGCCUGCCAGUUGCUGCAGGAUCUACAAGGCCAGGGAGUCCCAAACUGCCCGCAGACCAUCAGAUUAGAGUACAAGGGCAUGGGAACAGCUUUUUGCUGGUAUGAAAUGAGGCAUGGACAAAGCCAGAAGAUCCUCUUCUUUCCCCACUAGCUGCAUCUCAAGUCCCUCAGAAACCUGGACCUUAUAUACGCUUUAUGUCUAAGUUGGAUCCACUACAGGAAAAAGCAGAGGCUCUCAACCUUAAUAUGGUAUUGGAACUGUGGCUUGCUGCCCAUUUUGCACUAAUUUCAUGUCUAAUGUUAGGUGAAAUAUCUUCCCUAUUUUUAGCAAAAGGAAUCAGAGUCCAAGGAGUAUUGGUAUAAAUGUGAGAAAAGCACUAUAUUACAGAAUUCUAGUUGCCUAGAGAUCAUUAUUAGCAAAAGCAGAAUUUCCUUAGUCUUCGAAACUCCCACCAAACCACCUACAUUACUGAAAACUACGCUUUUAGAGUUAGGUAUCUACAUUUCUUCUCCUCUUGCUCCCACAUACUGCCCCCAUACACUAAAGUUUCCUUUCCCACUCACUUCUCCUAUCAUCCAUGAGAAAUCAAACAAUCACACUAGUCUGAACACGGUGUCCUCUAAAACAGCAUGAAGGAAAGUUUACAUCUCUCUAAAACUGUUCACACUGUGUAUCUGUUUCCACUCAGGUCACGUUUCAGAGAUUUUUCUCAAGACCCUGGAAAAUGACAAGCUAGGUUUCAUGUUUAAAUUAAGCCUGAAACACAAUAGAUGCUGAUAGUGCCAUGCAGCGUUCUGUGGAGAAUGAGGUGGUUACAUGCUUGAUACCUUAUUUCAAGGGGCUGAUAAAUCUCCCCUUAUUCAAGUUGUUCUCAUGAUAAACCUCAACUCCCAUCUCACCAAUGCAUUAUUAUUGCACAUGCAAACCCGUGAGAAACACAAGACACUGCCACCAGCAUGAGGUAACUAUGCAAAUACCAUUUGUGUAACUCUGAGGUACCCAUAGCCUGGCAUGCAAAUCCAGACUCCUAGACUAAUUCAGCUGAAAGAAGCAAAAUAUAUGCCACUUUCUGAAGGUCAGUGAAUACAUGGCAUGUUGUUUAUUUUUAAUUUAUUUGUAACAGAAUUAGAAUAUUAGCAGUUUCUCUUGAAAUCUGAACUUGGAAUGCCAAAGACCUUUCUCUGGAGAAAGCUCCCAGGACAGCAUCUUUGUUCAGUGGCCGUAUAACAGGAGUACAUGCUUUCCUCAGCUUAGCGGACACAGGUCUCUAAGAGAUCACUUGGGUCAUUUCAUCCCACCGACUUUGCUGACAAACAUAUAAUAGGUGUCCAGUUUCAAAGGGCUCACACAACAUCUACUCCACAAGUCCCUUCUCUUUCUCCUCCCUUCCAACCCCUUGUCGCAGAUCAAAAGCAUUUUGCAAUAACCCAUAAAAAACCCCUCAAGACUAUAGUUUCCGCAUUCAGCCUUUUACCAUAACACACAUGGGGGAUUAAAAAAAAAAAGAAAAAAGAAAAAGAUACGGCUGAGGUUUCCUAAGGUUCAAAAAAACUUCCCUACUGCCUGUCUGCAGAGAUGGAGAGGGCUGCCACUAUCUUGUGUCUGCAGAAUUUGUUCAACAGAAGUGCAAGGUGAAGUGGAUCCUAUAAGAAGAAAGAGCCCAGUCCUGGAUCAGUGAAGCAUAUAACUUCUGGAAGCCACCUGAAACACAGUAAUCUCAAAGUUCUUCAGAAAAAAAA